CUAAGGAACAACUGGAAUAUUUCAGUUAAAAAUUCUUAAAGGAAUUGGUAAAGAUUGUUAAUUGGGAGUUUAUAGAAGGAGGAAAAUUAUAUAGUCAACACAUAAACCUGUGAAAUGGGCCUCAACUCUGUAAAAGCCAUGAUAGUCAGAAGAAAUGGACCUCAUUUAAGGCAGAUAAAAUAAAAUUAGUAACUACUCUGGUCAACCAUUCAAUAAAACUAAUAAAGAUGAACUUUCGUGCCCUCUUAUAUGCAGGAGUUCUGCUUCCAGAUGUAAACCCUGAGUGAAAUUCUGGCAUAUAUGCCCAGGAAGCCUGUGGAAAAGUAGACAAGGCAAAUGCUUUUUUUGGAAAAGACCUAAGUGCCACCAAGGGAAAAUGGAUACACUUAAUAGCUUAGUUGUACACAACAGAGUACUAUUAUUUAGUAGUAAAAAUAAAAAUCAAUUGGAGAUACGUCUGCCAAUAUGAAUAUGGACCACAAAUAUAAGGAACAUAUGAUCUGUUACUCCUGAGCUAUUGUUCCUGUGGUGAAGAGUGUUCCAAUCCUUAGAGCAUCAUUGUUUAGUGAAUGUAACUGUUCUAACCAAUUUAAUUGAAGGGUAAGAUAUAUACUUUCAAAAGUGAGAAGAUUGACUUAACCCAAAGUCUACCCUCAUGUUCACUGGUGAUGAACAAGAUGUUCUUUUCCUGAAAUGGGAACCAAAUAUGAUGUCUCCCAUGACCGAUUUAAUUUGAACUAGAAAUAUAAUUGUCAAGUGCAAUGAGACAGAGAAAGGAAUGGAGGCAUAUGUAUUUGGAAGGAAGAAGUAAAACUAUCUUGGACUGCAUUGAGCAUGAUAGCCUAUACAGAAAGUCCACAAAUCAACUCAAAGUUCCUGGAAAACUGAGCAGGAGCAUCAAGGUCACACACAGUUAAUAAAUCCAGAGAGCAAAAAUGAGCUAUUGGCUUUUAUACUUAGGCUACACAGUUGCAUUUCACAAUUUAAAAUACCACUUACAAUUGCAACAAGAACAAAAAGUCUUAUCUAUAAAUGUAACAAAUUUUGUACAAAAUCCAUAUGCAGAACAUUUUGGCUCUAGUGAAAGAAAUAAAAUAAGUACUGUGUGCUAGAUGAUAAAGUUGAACCAAUAGACGCAUGGACUACCAUUAGUAGUGCUGUCAUUCUUCCACAAACUACUUGAUCAGGCUCCUCUGCUCCCCAUUAAUCAAUAAGACUUCAGCUUUCAUCUAUGAAAGUUGCUGUAGAAUUUCAGCUCAAAUUAUUUCAUCCAUUCCUCUCUGUACUCCUACACACCAACCAGCAGUGUUUCUAAAAGCUCAAGGUAGUGUCAGAGGAAUAAUGAUUCCAGUCCUUUUAAGGUCUUGUCUAGGAGAGAUCAGAGCUGUCCAAAAGAUUCAUUGUUUGGUCUGCCCAACACUUGUAGAUAGGGUUCCUGUCUAUGAGAUUGUGGUUGUAUGAGAGUUUAGCUUUUGUUAGUACAAGUUGACACAACUAUGUGACCUAAUUAUAUUGAAUACUUCUUGCCUUUCACAGAUUCCUAUUUCCUUGACUCUUCUUAGAGUCUUACUCUUCCCUAAUUUUCUAUUUAAAAUGCCCAGUCACCUUGGCAUUACUGUUUUAACUCCCAUCUGGCUUCAUCGUUGGCAUAUGUACAGAGGAUCUGAAUUAGCAAAUGUGCAAACAUGUUUUUUUUAAACCUUGAAUAUUCAUUUAAUAAAGCCCUCUUUGCAUAUGCGAUUAACUUAAAAGAAGAGGACAUGAGGUUGGGAAGGAGUAUAAUGAGAGGUAUGUAGUGAGGAGAUAAUAGGGAAGAUUAAAGAUGUAAAAUGAUCAAAGUGUAUGGCAUAGAUGUAGGAAAUUCUCAAUGAAUAAAGUUUAUUUGU
rnacentral:lncRNA from 1 species